UACGGAGGGGGCUAGCGUUGUUCGGAAUUACUGGGCGUAAAGGGCGCGUAGGCGGUGGAUCAAGUCAGGCGUGAAAGCCCCGGGCUCAACCUGGGAACCGCGCUUGAGACUGGUGCGCUAGAGUUCGGGAGAGGAUGGUGGAAUUCCCAGUGUAGAGGUGAAAUUCGUAGAUAUUGGGAAGAACACCGAUGGCGAAGGCAGCCAUCUGGACCGACACUGACGCUGAGGCGCGAAAGCGUGGGGAGCAAACAGG
rnacentral:rRNA from 1 species